UACGUAGGUGGCAAGCGUUGUCCGGAUUUACUGGGCGUAAAGAGCGCGCAGGCGGUCGUACAAGUCGCGUGUGAAAGCCCCCGGCUCAACUGGGGAGGGUCACGCGAUACUGUUCGACUCGAAGGCAGGAGAGGGAAGUGGAAUUCCCGGUGUAGUGGUGAAAUGCGCAGAUAUCGGGAAGAACACCUAUGGCGAAGGCAGCUCUCUGGGACGGUACUGACGCUGAGACGCGAAAGCGUGGGGAGCGAACAGG
rnacentral:rRNA from 1 species